CCUACGGGUGGCAGCAGUCGAGAAUCAUUCACAAUGGUGGAAACCCUGAUGGUGCGAAGCCGCGUGGGGGAAUGAAGUUCUUCGGAUUGUAAACCCCUGUUAUGUGGGAGCAAAUUAAAAAGCUCGUACCACAAGAGGAAGAGACGGCUAACUCUGUGCCAGCAACCGCGGUAAUACAGAGGUCUCAAGCGUUGUUCGGAAUCAGUGGGCUUAAUGCGUGCGUUGGCCGUUUCGUAAGUCGUGUGUGAAAGGUGCGGGCUCAACCCGCGGACGGCACAUGAUACUGCCAGACUAGAGUAAUGGAGGGGGAACCGGAAUGCGCGGUGUAGCAGUGAAAUGCGUAGAUAUCG
rnacentral:rRNA from 1 species